rnacentral:rRNA from 1 species
GAUCCUGGCUCAGGAUGAACGCUAGCGGCAGGCUUAACACAUGCAAGUCGAGGGGCAGCAUGGUCUUAGCUUGCUAAGGCCGAUGGCGACCGGCGCACGGGUGAGUAACGCGUAUCCAACCUGCCUUACACUCUUGGACAGCCUUCUGAAAGGGAGAUUAAUACAAGAUGUUAUCAUGAGUAAGCAUUUUCGCAUGAUUAAAGGUUUACCGGUGUAAGAUGGGGAUGCGUUCCA